rnacentral:rRNA from 1 species
AAUAUUGCGCAAUGGACGGAAGUCUGACGCAGCGACGCCGCGUGAGCGAUGAAGGCCUUCGGGUCGUAAAGCUCUUCCUUUGGGGAAGAAGGUCUUCGGACUUGACGGUACCCAAGAAGAAAGCCCCGGCUAACUACGUUCCAGCAGCCGCGGUAAUACGUAGGGGGCAAGCGUUGUCCGGAAUUAUUGGGCGUAAAGGGUGCGUAGGCGGCCUUUUAAGUCAGAUGUGAAAGCCCACGGCUUAACCGUGGGACUGCAUUUGAAACUGGAGGGCUUGAGUAUCGGAGAGGGUAGUGGAAUUCCCAGUGUAGCGGUGGAAUGCGUAGAUAUUGGGAGGAACACCAGUGGCGAAGGCGACUACCUGGACGAAAACUGACGCUGAGGCACGAAAGCUAGGGGAGCAAAC